UACGUAGGGUGCAAGCGUUGUCCGGAAUUAUUGGGCGUAACGAGCUUGUAGGCGGUUUGUCGCGUCUGCUGUGAAAUUUCGGGGCUCAACCCCGAACUUGCAGUGGGUACGGGCAGACUAGAGUGUGGUAGGGGAGACUGGAAUUCCUGGUGUAGCGGUGAAAUGCGCAGAUAUCAGGAGGAACACCGAUGGCGAAGGCAGGUCUCUGGGCCAUAACUGACGCUGAGAAGCGAAAGCAUGGGGAGCGAACAGG
rnacentral:rRNA from 1 species